UUGCUUUUGAAAGCCUUUCUUUCAAAAGUUGUGUUAACUGUUUGGAUUAGUAACUAGCAUGCCUAAUCCUCAGCUCUCUAAUGACACGUAAUUUUUUUGUAUUGUGAAAUUAACUUUGUAAGAUUUUGUAUAAGGCAUGUGCAUCCUGGUGAAGUCUUUUAGUUGCCACCUUAUGUGUCUUUGGCCUUUAAAUCUAUUUCUUGAGUGUUUUAAAAACUGGGAUUACUUUUCCUUGAAUAUUUGUAAGGAACUGAAUGUUUGUUUAGAUGGUCAAGCUAAAUGUGCUUCACUGAAUGAUUGUAACUUUUUGAAAGAUGGUGAAGGGCUAGACAGUAUUUGGGUGGGGAGAAUUAUUCUUUGACUUACCUGGUUGACUACUGGUUCUAGGAGGACCAGUAUGACCAUUUGGAUGCCGCUGACAUGACAAAAGUGGAAAAAAGCACGAAUGAGGCCAUGGAGUGGAUGAAUAACAAGCUGAAUCUGCAGAAAAAGCAGAGCCUGACCGUGGAGCCAGUUGUCAAGGGAAGAGAUACAGAAGCUAAAAUUAAGGAGCUGACAAAUAUCUGUAGCCCUAUAAUUUCAAAGCCAAAACCCAAAGUGGAACCUCCAAAAGAGGAGUAAAAGAACGCAGAGCAGAAUGGACCCGUGGAUGGACAGGGAGACAGCCCGGGCCCUCGGGCUGCGGAGCAGGGUGCAGACGCAGCUGUGCCUUCAGAUCCAGACAAGAAGCUUCCUGAGAUGGACAUUGAUUGAUUCCAGCUAUUGUUUAUAUUAAAACAGACUAUUAUAAAGCU